rnacentral:rRNA from 1 species
CGUGAUAAGCUGCGAAAAGUCACGGGGAGGUGCAAAUAACCCUUGAUCCGUGAAUCUCCGAAUGGGACAACCCGGUAUCCUGAAGGGAUAUCACCUUACUAAUGUAAGGGGCUAACGCAGGGAACUGAAACAUCUUAGUACCUGCAGGAAAAGAAAAUAACAAUGAUUCCCCCAGUAGUGGCGAGCGAACGGGGAAUAGCCCAAACCAACA